rnacentral:rRNA from 1 species
GAUGAACGCUGGCGGCGUGCCUAAUACAUGCAAGUCGAGCGAACGGACGAGAAGCUUGCUUCUCUGAUGUUAGCGGCGGACGGGUGAGUAACACGUGGAUAACCUACCUAUAAGACUGGGAUAACUUCGGGAAACCGGAGCUCAUACCGGAUAAUAUUUUGAACCGCAUGGUUCAAAAGUGAAAGACGGUCUUGCUGUCACUUAUAGAUGGAUCCGCGCUGCAUUAGCUAGUUGGUAAGGUAACGGCUUACCAAGGCAACGAUGCAUAGCCGACCUGAGAGGGUGACCGGCCACACUGGAACUGAGACACGGUCCAGACUCCUACGGGAGGCAGCAGUAGGGAAUCUUCCGCAAUGGGCGAAAGCCUGACGGAGCAAUGCCGCGUGAGUGAUGAAGGUCUUCGGAUCGUAAAACUCUGUUAUUAGGGAAGAACAUAUGUGCACGUAACUGUGCACAUCUUGACGGUACCGAAUCAGAAAGCAACGGCUAACUACGUG